CCUACGGGAUGCAGCAGUGGGGAAUAUUGCACAAUGGGCGGAAGCCUGAUGCAGCAACGCUGCGUGCGGGAUGACGGCCUUCGGGUUGUAAACCGCUUUCGCCUGUGACGAAGCGUGAGUAACGGUAAUGGGUAAAGAAGCACCGGCUAACUACGUGCCAGCAGCCGCGGUGAUACGUAGGGUGCGAGCGUUGUCCGGAUUUACUGGGCGUAAAGGGCUCGUAGGUGGUUGAUCGCGUCGGAAGUGUAAUCUUGGGGCUUAACCCUGAGCGUGCUUUCGAUACGGGUUGACUUGAGGAAGGUAGGGGAGAAUGGAAUUCCUGGUGGAGCGGUGGAAUGCGCAGAUAUCAGGAGGAACACCAGUGGCGAAGGCGGUUCUCUGGGCCUUUCCUGACGCUGAGGAGCGAAAGCGUGGGGAGCGAACAGGAUUAGAUACCCCUGUAGUC
rnacentral:rRNA from 1 species